UACGUAGGUGGCAAGCGUUGUCCGGAUUUACUGGGCGUAAAGGAUGCGUAGGUGGAUAUUUAAGUCAGAUGUGAAAUACCCGAGCUUAACUUGGGUGCUGCAUUUGAAACUGGAUAUCUAGAGUGCAGGAGAGGUAAGUGGAAUUCCUAGUGUAGCGGUGAAAUGCGUAGAGAUUAGGAAGAACACCAGUGGCGAAGGCGACUUACUGGACUGUAACUGACACUGAGGCACGAAAGCUAGGGGAGCAAACAGG
rnacentral:rRNA from 1 species